UCGAAGGUGGGACAAAUGAUUGGGGUGAAGUCGUAACAAGGUAGCCGUAUCGGAAGGUGCGGCUGGAUCACCUCCUUU
rnacentral:rRNA from 4 species